CAACUUUCAACAACGGAUCUCUUGAUUCUGGCAUCGAUGAAGAACACUGCGAAAUGCGAUAAGUAGUGUGAAUUGCAGAAUUCAAUGAAUCAUCGAAUCUUUGAACGCACAUUGCGCCCCUUGGUAUUCCAUGGGGCAUGCCUGUUCGAGCGUCAUUU
rnacentral:rRNA from 1 species